rnacentral:tRNA from 1 species
GCCUGGAUGGCUCAGUUGGUAAAGCGUCUGACUUUGGCUCAGGUCAUGAUCUCACAGUUUGCGGGUUCAAGCCUCGCGCGGGGCU